UACGUAGGGUGCGAGCGUGUCCGGAAUUAUUGGGCGUAAAGAGCUCGUAGGCGGUUUGUCGCGUCUGCUGUGAAAACUGGGGGCUCAACCCCCAGCCUGCAGUGGGUACGGGCAGACUAGAGUGCGGUAGGGGAGAUUGGAAUUCCUGGUGUAGCGGUGGAAUGCGCAGAUAUCAGGAGGAACACCGAUGGCGAAGGCAGAUCUCUGGGCCGUAACUGACGCUGAGGAGCGAAAGCAUGGGGAGCGAACAGG
rnacentral:rRNA from 1 species